rnacentral:rRNA from 1 species
GAUGAAGCACCGCUUGCGGUGUGGAUUAGUGGCGAACGGGUGAGUAACACGUGAGUAACCUGCCCUUGACUCUGGGAUAAGCCUGGGAAACUGGGUCUAAUACUGGAUAUGACCUGUCACCGCAUGGUGGUGGGUGGAAAGCUUUUGUGGUUUUGGAUGGACUCGCGGCCUAUCAGCUUGUUGGUGGGGUAAUGGCCUACCAAGGCGAUGACGGGUAGCCGGCCUGAGAGGGUGACCGGCCACACUGGGACUGAGACACGGCCCAGACUCCUACGGGAGGCAGCAGUGGGGAAUAUUGCACAAUGGGCGCAAGCCUGAUGCAGCGACGCCGCGUGAGGGAUGACGGCCUUCGGGUUGUAAACCUCUUUCAGUAGGGAAGAAGCGAAAGUGACGGUACCUGCAGAAGAAGCGCCGGCUAACUACGUGCCAGCAGCCGCGGUAAUACGUAGGGCGCAAGCGUUAUCCGGAAUUAUUGGGCGUAAAGAGCUCGUAGGCGGUUUGUCGCGUCUGCUGUGAAAGACCGGGGCUCAACUCCGGUUCUGCAGUGGGUACGGGCAGACUAGAGUGAUGUAGGGGAGACUGGAAUUCCUGGUGUAGCGGUGAAAUGCGCAGAUAUCAGGAGGAACACCGAUGGCGAAGGCAGGUCUCUGGGCAUUAACUGACGCUGAGGAGCGAAAGCAUGGGGAGCGAACAGGAUUAGAUACCCUGGUAGUCCAUGCCGUAAACGUUGGGCACUAGGUGUGGGGGACAUUCCACGUUUUCCGCGCCGUAGCUAACGCAUUAAGUGCCCCGCCUGGGGAGUACGGCCGCAAGGCUAAACUCAAGGAAUUGACGGGGGCCCGCACAAGCGGCGGAGCAUGCGGAUUAAUUCGAUGCACGCGAAGAACCUUACCAAGGCUU